UGGUAUGCCCCAGCAACUGCAAAAUAAUGUCUGUCCACUGAGUAGUGAAUACAGUAUCAAGAUCGAGAAUCAGGAUCAAGGAUGAGAAGCUCCUCAGAGCACAAUGAGCAUGUGCGGGUUACUAAACCUUAGAAAAUCCAAGAUGAGAAACUCCUGUGACAACAUUGAAGGACUGGGUCAUUACUACUAUACAGAUGCUGAACCUCAAGAUCCAGAUUAAACCAGCUCUGCUUUACAUAGGACGCCUGCCAAGAGUUUCUAGGAUGAAAUGAAUUCAUCCUCCAUUUCAGCAGGGAAGACAGAGCCUCAAGCAAAAGAAGGAAUCCUGUUUAGAAAUUGAUAAUAAACAUGUUUGCUUUAA